UACAGAGGUCUCAAGCGUUGUUCGGAUUCAUUGGGCGUAAAGGGUGCGUAGGCGGCCGAGUGUGUGAGGCGUGAAAGCCCGGGGCUUAACCCCGGAAUUGCACCUCAAACUACACGGCUAGAGCAUUGGAGAGGGUAGCAGAAUUCAUGGUGUAGCAGUGAAAUGCGUAGAUAUCAUGAGGAAUACCAGAGGCGAAGGCGGCUACCUGGACAAUUGCUGACGCUCAGGCACGAAAGCGUGGGGAGCAAAAGGG
rnacentral:rRNA from 1 species